UACGUAGGGGACGAGCGUUGUCCGGAAUUACUUGGCGUAAAGGGCGCGCAGGCGGUAUAUCAAGUCAGCUGUCAAAGACUGGGGCUCAACCCUGGUAUGCGGUUGAAACUGAUAUGCUGGAGUGCUGUAGAGGCAAGUGGAAUUCCCAGUGUAGCGGUGAAAUGCGUAGAUAUUGGGAAGAACACCGGUGGCGAAGGCGACUUGCUGGGCAUCAACUGACGCUGAGGCGCGAAAGCCAGGGUAGCAAACGGGAUUAGAUA
rnacentral:rRNA from 1 species